AUUGAACGCUGGCGGCAGGCCUAACACAUGCAAGUCGAACGAGUGGCGGACGGGUGAGUAAUGUCUGGGAAACUGCCUGAUGGAGGGGGAUAACUACUGGAAACGGUAGCUAAUACCGCAUACCAUCGGAUGUGCCCAGUUGGGAUUGGCUAGUAGGUGGGGUAACGGCUCACCUAGGCGACGAUCCCUAGCUGGUCUGAGAGGAUGACCAGCCACACAGGAACUGGGACAGGGUCCAGACGCCUACGAGAGUCAGCAGUGGGGAAUAUAGCACAAUGGGCGCAAGCCUGAUGCAGCCAGGCCGCGGGUGUGAAGAAGGCCUUCGGGUUGUAAAGCACUUUCAGCGGGGAGGCGUUACCCGCAGAAGAAGCACCGGCUAACUCCGUGACAGCAGCCGCGGUAAUUC
rnacentral:rRNA from 1 species